rnacentral:misc_RNA from 1 species
CUCAAAAAGUUCAAAGCCAAUAACAGCAGGUAAGCAUUCCAAUGAAAUUUCACAUUGCAGACGUUAGCAUAAAACAUUUCACACUUUUUUUUGCAAUAAGAAGCAAAUCAUGGACUUGAGGAAGUCCAAAAAGAAAAAAAUAUUGUGAUUUAAAAAUGUUCAUUGUGUCCAUGAAAGUCAUGAUGGAAAAUGCUCCAUACAAACUAAAAACAUUAAAGCCUCUAGAGUACAUGCCUAUAAGUUCAGAGACGUCUUUAAAUUCAAAACAAGAUCAGUAGUCUUCUUUCCCAGGAGCAAUUUCAAGCUUAAGUUGUAGGUGUCUAGGCCUCUGCAAUGAACUUUCUUCUCUGCAAAUGUUGAAUCUUAUUCAACAACUUCAAGCAAUUCCAAAAAUCAGCAGGCAUCAAACGUCUUUUAAGACGAGUUGGGAAAGGAUCACCUGGAAGCGUUAUAAAAUUAGAGAAAUUAGUUCUUUCAAAGUUCCUUCUUUUUUCCACUGUAAAAGUGCAUCUAUGGUCAUAAAUAUUCAGUAAUUUCAAUUUAACACAACUAUGAUGAUAGAAGCAUGGCAUGCUUUUCAUGUUCACUUGGCUUCCAUGAUCACAUUGUCCAUAUCCAGAGUACAGACAACACCAUCAACGAAAUUCAAUUCAUCCAGAAUCAAAACAAAAUUAUUUAACAUUUCCAAGUUCCCAUUAGGUACCACUCUGUAAACCACAUAUCAGAAAACUUUAAAACAAAUGAAGAGAAUAAUUUUUCUAGGAAGGAAGGAAGAAUUUAAACCAAAUGAGAAAUUACAAUAUUUGGCUGGUUAAAUGCAUGUUCGUUUUAAGUAAUGCAAGGAAAAGAAUUGUCAAAAGAAGACUAUCUCAAGCUAGAGAGGGGCUUUUACAAGCAAACGCACUGAAUCCUGCCAUUUGAAGACUGAAGUUUUGUGUAGAAAUAUGCUAAUACUUUAUAAACUUUGGUUAGUCAAAAGUAUCAUUAUUUUCUAAAUGUAGUCUGUCUGCACAGAUGCAUAUUCUUAUUCCAAGCAAGCUUAUAGAGGAUCAAGAGAAAUGAAAACGCAUCAAACUACUGCUUUAAUAAACGGAAGUACA